GAGGAGGGAGGAGUUCGGUGUGGGCUGGUUCUCGAAGGUCCCCACCCUCGGAACUAUCUUCCAGAGUCCCGGAGCUGUGCGGGCCCCGGAUCCUCUGGCUAACCUUCCGGAUGACCAACAGGACAGGCUGUCUUCCUUCAUUCUCUAAUGCUCUACCCUGAACCAGUUCCUGUGCUUGGUGCUGGGAUAUAAAAAUAAAUUUACUCACCUUCUGUGAUGGUUUGAAGACACUUGGCCCAGGGAGUGGCACUAUUAGGAGGUAUGGCCUUGGUGGAGUAGGUGUGUCACUGUACGCAUGGACUUUAAGACCCUCAUCUGCCUGGAAGUCAGUCUUCUCCCAGCAGCCUUCAGAUGAAGAUGUAGAACUCUCAGCUCCUCCUGCACCAGGCCUGCCUGGAUGCUGCCAUGCUCCUGCCUUGAUGAUAAUGGAAUGAACCUCUGAACCUUGUGGGCAAGAAUGCUUGUGCAUAGAUAGGCGUGUGUGUUCCACACUGUGCACAUAAAGGUCGGAGGACAAUGUUCAGGUGCUAGGUGGUUCUCUUCUCCUGCUAUGUGGAUUCUGGGAGUGAACUACAUCAUCGCGCUUGUCCAGUAAGCACUUUUACCUACUGAGCUGUUUCUCCUGCCCUCUGUUAUGUUCUUUUGUUUGUUUGUUUUGUUCUGUCUGUUUGUUUGUUUGUUUGUUAAGACAGGGUCUCUCUGUGUAGUCCUGGCUGUCCUGGAACUCACUCUGUAGACCAGGCUGGCCUUGAACUCAGAAAUCCGCCUGCCUCUGCCUCCCGAGUGCUGGGAUUAAAGGCGUGCGCCACCACUGCCCAGCCUGUUAUGUUCUUAAUACACAGAACAGAAAAAACGAUCGCCAGACAAGCUUGCUGAAGGGGAGAGGUGCAAAGAACAGGGUGAGAGAGCCCCGAGGACCUGAAAUUGUGUGAACGAAGACUCUUAAUUUCUUAGAAUGAAGACUCUUAAUUUCUUAGAUAGCCUUUUCCUUUGUUGGGGGCAUAUGACACAUUCAGUCCUCUAAUGAUGCUUAGGACAAGGCUAUAGCAGCGCCCACCCUCAAGACACAUAGACACUGCUUAUUAACUGAAGCCAAUCAGUGUCCCAGAAGCCACACGAGGUGAAUAUGCUUGUCACCCACACAGUGCUGAUGAGGAGGUUGAGGCACAGAGCCUGAGGAGCAGAAGUGGGUCUCUCUGUUUCCAGAGUCUGUUACCACUGUGAGAUACAGUCUCUAGAGACUGGCCCACCUCUGGGUCUCAGCGUUUCUUAUCAGCUCUCAUAUGACAUCAAAGGGCUGAUUUCAGGAUUUAAAGUGACAGCGUUUAUCGAGUAUCUAGCCCAGUGACGGCCAUUAAUAUGAUCUGAGGUUAUUAUCAGUAGUACUGCCAUUUUCAGGCUGCUGAGAAGGGGUCACUUCGGGGCAGAGCCCUGGAAAGACCGUUGUUUUUUUUUUUUUUUUUUUUUUUUCAGCCAGGAGGUGAGGAAGUGGAGGAUGAAGGAGAGCUCAUUGUUUUAAUAAACUCACACUCGGUCUC
ensembl:processed_transcript Gm14204 predicted gene 14204